rnacentral:rRNA from 1 species
AUUGAACGCUGGCGGCAUGCCUUACACAUGCAAGUCGAACGGUAACGGGCCUUCGGGUGCCGACGAGUGGCGAACGGGUGAGUAAUACAUCGGAACGUGCCCGAUCGUGGGGGAUAACGAGGCGAAAGCUUUGCUAAUACCGCAUACGAUCUACGGUGAAAGCAGGGGAACGGAAGGCCCUUGGCGGACGGAGCGGCCGAUGGCAGAUUAGGUAGUUGGUGGGAUAAAAGCUUACCAAGCCGACGAUCUGUAGCUGGUCUGAGAGGAUGAUCAGCCACACUGGGACUGAGACACGGCCCAGACUCCUACGGGAGGCAGCAGUGGGGAAUUUUGGACAAUGGGCGCAAGCCUGAUCCAGCCAUGCCGCGUGCAGGAUGAAGGCCUUCGGGUUGUAAACUGCUUUUGUACGGAACGAAAAGCCUUCUUUUAAUACAGGAGGGUCAUGACGGUACCGUAAGAAUAAGCACCGGCUAACUACGUG